rnacentral:rRNA from 1 species
UACGACAGGGGCUAUCGUUGUUCGGAAUUACUGGGCGUAAAGAGCACGUAGGCGGCCUUGUAAGUUGGGGGUGAAAUCCCGGGGCUCAACUCCGGAACUGCCUUCAAGACUGCAAAGCUAGAGGACGCGAGAGGUUAGCGGAAUUCCGAGUGUAGAGGUGAAAUUCGUAGAUAUUCGGAAGAACACCAGUGGCGAAGGCGGCUAACUGGCGCGUUUCUGACGCUGAGGUGCGAAAGCGUGGGGAGCAAACAGG